rnacentral:rRNA from 1 species
AACGCUGGCGGCGUGCCUAAUACAUGCAAGUCGAACGAAACUUUCUUACACCGAAUGCUUGCAUUCACCGUAAGAAGUUGAGUGGCGGACGGGUGAGUAACACGUGGGUAACCUGCCUAAAAGAAGGGGAUAACACUUGGAAACAGGUGCUAAUACCGUAUAUCUCUAAGGAUCGCAUGAUUCUUAGAUAAAAGAUGGUUCUGCUAUCGCUUUUAGAUGGACCCGCGGCGUAUUAACUAGUUGGUGGGGUAACGGCCUACCAAGGUGAUGAUACGUAGCCGAACUGAGAGGUUGAUCGGCCACAUUGGGACUGAGACACGGCCCAAACUCCUACGGGAGGCAGCAGUAGGGAAUCUUCCACAAUGGACGCAAGUCUGAUGGAGCAACGCCGCGUGAGUGAAGAAGGUCUUCGGAUCGUAAAGCUCUGUUGUUAGAGAAGAACACGAGUGAGAGUAACUGUUCAUUCGAUGACGGUAUCUAACCAGCAAGUCACGGCUAACUACGUUU